GAUGAACGCUGGCGGCGUGCCUAAUACAUGCAAGUCGAGCGAAAGGACGAGGAGCUUGCUCCUUUGACGUUAGCGGCGGACGGGUGAGUAACAAGUGGGUAACCUACCUAUAAGACUGGGAUAACUUCGGGAAACCGGAGCUAAUACCGGAUAAUAUUUCGAACCGCAUGGUUCGAUAGUGAAAGAUGGGUCUGCUAUCACUUAUAGAUGGAUCUGCGCCGUAUUAGCUAGUUGGUAAGGUAACGGCGAACCAAGGCAACGAUACGUAGCCGACCUGAGAGGAUGAUCAGCCACACUGUAACUGAGCCACGGUCCAGACUCCUACGGGAGGCAGCAGUAGGGAAUCUUCCGCAAUGGGCGAAAGCCUGACGGAGCAACGCCGCGUGAGUGAUGAAGUUCUUCGGAUCGUAAAACUCUGUUAUUAUGGAAGAACAAACAUGUAAGUAACUGUGCACUUCUUGACGGUACCUAAUCAGAAAGCCACGGCUAACUACGUG
rnacentral:rRNA from 1 species